rnacentral:rRNA from 1 species
GCUGGCGGCGUGCUUAACACAUGCAAGUCGAACGGAAAGGCCCCUUCGGGGGUGCUCGAGUGGCGAACGGGUGAGUAACACGUGGGUGAUCUGCCCUGCACUUUGGGAUAAGCCUGGGAAACUGGGUCUAAUACCGAAUAGGACCAUGGGAUGCAUGUCUUGUGGUGGAAAGCUUUUGCGGUGUGGGAUGGGCCCGCGGCCUAUCAGCUUGUUGGUGGGGUGAUGGCCUACCAAGGCGACGACGGGUAGCCGGCCUGAGAGGGUGUCCGGCCACACUGGGACUGAGAUACGGCCCAGACUCCUACGGGAGGCAGCAGUGGGGAAUAUUGCACAAUGGGCGCAAGCCUGAUGCAGCGACGCCGCGUGGGGGAUGACGGCCUUCGGGUUGUAAACCCCUUUCAGUACCGACGAAGCGUAAGUGACGGUAGGUACAGAAGAAGCACCGGCCAACUACGU